rnacentral:tRNA from 1 species
GGGUAUAUAGCUCAACAGUAGAGAGUAUGCUUAAUAUGCAUGGGGUCCUGGAUUCAAUCCCCAGUAACUCCA